GACGAACCGUGCGAACGUUGUUCGGAAUCACUGGGCAUAAAGGGCGCGUAGGCGGCCUGUCAAGUCAGGGGUGAAAUCCGGCAGCUCAACUGUCGAAGUGCCUUUGAUACUGACGGGCUCGAGGGAGGUAGGGGUCGCUGGAACUUCCGGUGGAGCGGUGAAAUGCGUUGAUAUCGGAAGGAACGCCGGUGGCGAAAGCGAGCGACUGGGCCUCUUCUGACGCUGAGGCGCGAAAGCUAGGGGAGCAAACGGG
rnacentral:rRNA from 1 species